rnacentral:antisense_RNA from 1 species
CGUUAUGGCUGUUGUACGUGGGAGACCUGCGGGUCUGCCGGGGUUGGGGCGUGACCUGGUUCGCCAACCCGCGUACAACUGCCACCCUU